rnacentral:rRNA from 1 species
GACGAACGCUGGCGGCGUGCCUAAUACAUGCAAGUAGAACGCUGAAGGAGGAGCUUGCUUCUCUGGAUGAGUUGCGAACGGGUGAGUAACGCGUAGGUAACCUGCCUGGUAGCGGGGGAUAACUAUUGGAAACGAUAGCUAAUACCGCAUAAUAUUGACUAUUGCAUGAUAGUCAGUUGAAAGGUGCAACUGCACCACUACCAGAUGGACCUGCGUUGUAUUAGCUAGUUGGUGGGGUAACGGCUCACCAAGGCGACGAUACAUAGCCGACCUGAGAGGGUGAUCGGCCACACUGGGACUGAGACACGGCCCAGACUCCUACGGGAGGCAGCAGUAGGGAAUCUUCGGCAAUGGACGGAAGUCUGACCGAGCAACGCCGCGUGAGUGAAGAAGGUUUUCGGAUCGUAAAGCUCUGUUGAAAGAGAAGAACGAGUGUGAGAGUGGAAAGCUCACACUGUGACGGUAUCUUACCAGAAAGGGACGGCUAACUACGUG